AGAGUUUGAUCCUGGCUCAGAUUGAACGCUGGCGGCACGCCUAACACAUGCAAGUCGAACGGCAGCGGGAGAAAGCUUGCUUUCUUGCCGGCGAGUGGCGGACGGGUGAGUAAUGCGUAGGAAUUUGUCUUAAAGUGUGGGACAACUCGGGGAAACUCGAGCUAAUACCGCAUAAUAUCUUCGGAUUAAAGAGGGGGAUCUUUUAGACCUCUCGCUUUUUGAGGAGCCUACGUUAGAUUAGCUAGUUGGUAGGGUAAAAGCCUACCAAGGCGACGAUCUAUAACUGGUCUGAGAGGAUGAUCAGUCACACUGGAACUGAGACACGGUCCAGACUCCUACGGGAGGCAGCAGUGGGGAAUAUUGGACAAUGGGGGCAACCCUGAUCCAGCGAUGCCGCGUGUGUGAAGAAGGCCUACGGGUUGUAAAGCACUUUUAUUGAGGAGGAAAAGUCAAUGGUUAAUACCCAUUGGCCUUGACGUUACUCAAAGAAUAAGCACCGGCUAACUCUGUGCCAGCAGCCGCGGUAAUACAGAGGGUGCGAGCGUUAAUCGGAUUGACUGGGCGUAAAGGGCGCGUAGGCGGUAUGUAAAGUUAGAUGUGAAAUCUUCGGGCUUAACCUGGAAACUGCAUCUAAUACUCACAUACUAGAGUUCAGCAGAGGUAAGUGGAAUUUCCAGUGUAGCGGUGAAAUGCGUAGAGAUUGGAAGGAACACCAGUGGCGAAGGCGGCUUACUGGGCUGAUACUGACGCUAAAGCGCGAAAGCAUGGGGAGCAAACAGGAUUAGAUACCCUGGUAGUCCAUGCCGUAAACGAUGAGAACUAGCUGUUGGAACUCUUAUAGAUUCAGUAGCGCAGCUAACGCAAUAAGUUCUCCGCCUGGGGAGUACGGUCGCAAGACUAAAACUCAAAGGAAUUGACGGGGGCCCGCACAAGCGGUGGAGCAUGUGGUUUAAUUCGAUGCAACGCGAAAAACCUUACCUACCCUUGACUUCCUCGGAACCUCAAAGAGAUUUGAGGGUGCCCGAAAGGGAACCAAGUGACAGGUGCUGCAUGGCUGUCGUCAGCUCGUGUCGUGAGAUGUUGGGUUAAGUCCCGUAACGAGCGCAACCCCUGUUCUUAGUUACCAUCUAGUUAAGUAGGGGACUCUAAGAAUACUGCCGAUGAUAAAUCGGAGGAAGGUGGGGACGACGUCAAGUCAUCAUGGCCUUUAUGGGUAGGGCUACACACGUGCUACAAUGGGAAGUACAAAGGGUUGCUAACCCGCGAGGGCACGCCAAUCUCAAAAAGCUUUCCGUAAUUCGGAUUGGAGUCUGAAACUCGACUCCAUGAAACUGAAAUCGCUAGUAAUCGUGAAUCAGCAUGUCACGGUGAAUACGUUCUCGGGCCUUGUACACACCGCCCGUCACACCAUGGGAGUGGGUUGUACCAGAAGCAAGUAGACUAACCUUUUAGGAGGUCGCUUACCACGGUAUGAUUCAUGACUAGGGUGAAGUCGUAACAAGGUA
rnacentral:rRNA from 1 species